GCCUACGGGAGGCAGCAGUGAGGAAUAUUGGUCAAUGGGCGAGAGCCUGAACCAGCCAAGUCGCGUGAAGGAUGACGGCCCUACGGGUUGUAAACUUCUUUUGUCAGGGAGCAAUUGGGUCCACGUGUGGGCUUAGCGAGAGUACCUGAAGAAAAAGCAUCGGCUAACUCCGUGCCAGCAGCCGCGGUAAUACGGAGGAUGCGAGCGUUAUCCGGAUUUAUUGGGUUUAAAGGGAGCGUAGGUGGACAGUUAAGUCAGUUGUGAAAGUUUGCGGCUCAACCGUAAAAUUGCAUUUGAUACUGGCU
rnacentral:rRNA from 1 species